rnacentral:lncRNA from 1 species
CCAGAUCUAUUUAUUACAGAGAUUAUUACAGCCCAGAAUGAAUAAAUUACAUAACAAUAUCUUUUACACUAUAGGGAGCCUUAGCAGGCCCAAUAUAAACCUGGGAGCCAGGCCUUCAGACACAAUAACGCUGAAACAAUAGCAGGGAUCCACAACACCAUAAACCAGGAUUCUACUGUGUCUAAGUUCCCAAAGAGCCUCAGGGACCCCGGGCAACGCUCACACUAGAACCAAACAUUCAACACAAAAUUCACAAGAGAUUAGAAAACCAGCCCCAAUGUGUCAGAGUUCAAAGGAGUCUCAGGGACCCAAGGCAGUGCUCGUACUGGGGGUGGUAGAAACCUAGAUAACUAAGAGUAGAAGUUUGAAAUCCAGUAUAUAGAGGGUAAUGAGGAACAAGUUUAGAAAUUAGCACAUAUAGAAUAGUAACAGAACUACACUAGAGAACAAACAAACUCUUGUUCAGCAUAUAGUUCAACUAAGUUGAUAUUUGUUCAGACUAGAUACUCAUACCAACAUUUAAAGUAAUCAUAAAAGCAAAGAUACUUGAACUAACAUACAUAAUUAGCCAUACAUUACAUGCUUGCAGUUAGAACAGGGAACAUACAACCGAAUUGGACAGGGUUUCACAUUACUGGAGGUAACUUAUUUUAGCAUUAUCACUAAGUGAGAUCAUGUAGUCACAUAGAAAGCAGAAGCAUGCUGAAAAUUUAAAUAGACUAAUCGAAUAAAGCAGAUAGAACAUAAUAGAAUAAUAUGAGUUAAAGCAUACCAGUUGAGAAGAAAGCAAAUAGGAAUGCAAUAGCAGUUAGAAUCCAGAGAAUCUGGCCUUGGCUUUCAGCCGGCUAAAUAGUGCAGAAAUCAGAACAAUAGAAAGAGAAAGCUCAAGUUUUUUGAGAGCGAAGAAUUUGAAAGUUUUAAGUUGUAAAGUGUGUAAGUGUCUCAGUGUGUAAAGUCAGGACAGGGGAAGGGCUUUUAUAGCAUAUAAUAGAGUAAAACAAAUAAGGUAAUGAACCAAUAACACACAAAUAAGGUAUGAAAAUUAAUUAAGGUUAGCAUGAACCAAUUAACAAGACAUAAUCGAGUAAAGUCAGGCUAGUACUACUUGAUUUAAGGAAAACCUUAUACGGAAUCGACUAGUAAUUAAGUACUAGGUUAAAUAAGGUAAAGAAAUAAUUCCAGGAUUAAUUUGAAGUUUAAUUUAGGGGUGAUGGUACAUAGUUUAGUCAAUUAAUGAGCAAUCUGGCAAGUACUACUCAUAAUAAGGUAAGUAUCAUAUAGAACCAAUUAUCAAUCAGCAAAUAAGGAAAAGAAAUAAAGGAACAAGGUAGGACGAACAGAAUAGGGAAAGUAUCAGUACAUACGAGAAAGAUUAAAAUCUUGGUAAAGAUUUCAGAGGCCCUAGUUUUGGGGUAAAUAAAACUAGCCCGCAACUAACGACAAGAGUGGAAGAUGCAUAGUGGAAAAUAGACAGAAACAUUUAAAGGAAAAAAUACCAAAUAAUGACAACCCUAACUUAAUGUAAGCAAAAGAAAAAGCAGAAACACAAAAGCUUUAAUAAAAUACACGAAGACAUAUAGACGGAAAUAAUUAAGGUUUGAACCAUAUUUUGUUCGAAGAAUCAAAACCCUAGAUUUUAGGGUAAGUAAAAUCAGCAUAGAAAUAAAAAAGGAAACUAUAAUAGAGAUGGAAAUACAUAAAUUUAGUUCGUCUUUAAGAAAUCAUAAACGCUAAAUUUUAGGGUAAGCAGAAUCGAUCAGAAAUAGUAAAGAAAAUAUGAACAUAGAGGUAGAUAUAAUGAAACAUUAAAGGAAAAAUACAAAGGAGGAGAAACUAUUUUGGAUCUAGAAAGAUCUUGAGUCCUAAUUUUAAGGUAAGUAAAUGAUUUAACUAAAAUAAGUUGAUUUGUAAGUAAUAGAGCAAAUAUAGAUGGAAAAUAAUCAUAAAACAAACAGAAAUCGGACCAAAUCAAAAUCUGAAGCCCUAACUAAAAGAUACAAAAAUAUUUAUACUUACAGAGGUUAGGACGAACACAGACGGAAAUAAUCAACAUAUAAGAUAUUUUGAACCAUUCUGGUUUGAAUCUCUUGAGAUCACCUUGCCAUUUGAGGCGAACUAGUUUGAGUAAUAUAAAAAACGAGUAGCUGGCAAGGAGGUAAGGCCAAAUAUUGUAAGGAAUCAAGAGAUUAUUCCAUUUUUAGGUAAGAAUCGCAGGAUGGUGACAACAUUAGGGUUCGAUGAAGAGAGAAGGGGAGGAGAUGAGAGAAUACAGAGGCG